rnacentral:rRNA from 1 species
GCCAGAGCCAUAUCUCCCUGCAGUUCUAGCCUGGUUUCCCACUAAGCAGGGUUGAGCCUGGCUAGUACCUGCAUGGGAGACCCCCUGGGGAAAACGAAGGUUGCUGCUGGAA